UCUGGCAGCAUCUUUAGACAGAUGAGGAAGCCGGAGCCAUUAGGUCAUAGGCCACGCCCACUGGAUACAAACGCAGCGCGGGAGUCAGAUGAGGUCAGGAACAUAUGGCCGUCCCGUUGCUAGAACACGGCAGCGCCAAACAUUUCACUGCUUCCUCAACUUGGGCCAAUACAGAGCUGGACUUGCUCAACGUCUGAAAAUCAAGUCUGGAUCAGUACCAACUCUCCUCGGCUCAGCUACAAACCUCGAAAAAACCCCCGACACCAUUUCAAUCAAGGUUGAAGAGGAUAUUGGUGGAGGCUUGCCCGCCGUAGAAGACUGCGAUGCCUUUGUGCCUUAGUGUCCGACCAGAGGGAAAAACACAUUGGACCAUGUUUACACUAACAUUAAACAUGCUUACAGAGCCAUACCACUACCUCACUUAGGCCAGUCAGACCACCUCUCUCUGCUCCUUACCCCUGCAUACACCCCUCUCAGGAGAAGUGCACCACUACAGACCAAAACCAUCACCACGUGGCCUCAGGAUGCACUUUCCCAACUACAAGACUGUUUCCUACACACCGAGUGGGAUGUUUUUAAACACCAGGACCUGGCUGUCCACACAGAAUCUGUACUUUCCUACAUCAAGUACUGCGUGGGAAACGUCACAGUGGACAAACACAUUUGUGUGUUCCCCAAUCAGAAGCCCUGGAUGACCAGCCAGGUCCGGACGCUCCUCAAGGUCCGCAACGCCGCCUUCAGGUCUGGAGACAGAGAGCAGUACAGCGCUGCUAGAGCCGACCUGAGGAGGGGAAUUAAGAAGGCAAAGGCGGACUACAGGAGGAAAAUAGAGGACCACCUCUCUGAAAACAACCCACGGCAGGUGUGGCAAGGCAUUCAACAGUUGACAAACUACAGGGGACACAACACCACAACUGUGAACUCAAGUAUCUCGCUGGCAGAAGAACUGAACUUCUUCUUUGCCCGCUUCGAGACAUCAAGGACAUCACAGACCUCAGCUUCAUCACCACCCCAGCCCCCACCAGCUCACAGCACCCACUCACUGACUGUACAGGUGCAGGAUGUGAGACGUGUGCUUAGUGGAGUCAACCCCAGGAAAGCUGCAGGA